rnacentral:rRNA from 1 species
GUCCCGCAACGAGCGCAACCCCUACCGCAGUUACCAACAGGUAAAGCUGGGGACUCUGGCGGAACUGCCGGCGACAAGCCGGAGGAAGGCGGGGAUGACGUCAAGUCAUCAUGGCCCUUAUGUCCAGGGCUACACACGUGCUACAAUGGGCGGCACAAAGCGAAGCGAGUCCGAGAGGACAGAGCGAACCGCCGAAAGCCGCCCGUAGUCCGGAUUGAAGUCUGAAACCCGACUUCAUGAAGCUGGAAUCGCUAGUAAUCGCGCAUCAGCAUGGCGCGGUGAAUACGUUCCCGGGCCUUGUACACACCGCCCGUCACACCAUCCGAGUUGGGGGCACCCGAAGCCGGCAGUCUAACCGCAAGGGGGACGCUGUCGAAGGUGCGCCGGGCGAGGAGGGUGAAGUCGUAACAAGGUAGCCGUACUGGAAAGUGCGGCUGGAUCACCUCCUUUCU